rnacentral:rRNA from 1 species
GAUGAACGCUAGCUACAGGCUUAACACAUGCAAGUCGAGGGGAAACGACAUCGAAAGCUUGCUUCUGAUGGGCGUCGACCGGCGCACGGGUGAGUAACACGUAUCCAACCUGCCCACCACUUGGGGAUAACCUUGCGAAAGUAAGACUAAUACCCAAUGAUAUCUCUAGAAGACAUCUGAAAGAGAUUAAAGAUUUAUCGGUGAUGGAUGGGGAUGCGUCUGAUUAGCUUGUUGGCGGGGUAACGGCCCACCAAGGCUACGAUCAGUAGGGGUUCUGAGAGGAAGGUCCCCCACAUUGGAACUGAGACACGGUCCAAACUCCUACGGGAGGCAGCAGUGAGGAAUAUUGGUCAAUGGACGGGAGUCUGAACCAGCCAAGUAGCGUGCAGGAUGACGGCCCUAUGGGUUGUAAACUGCUUUUAUAAGGGAAUAAAGUGAGUCUCGUGAGACUUUUUGCAUGUACCUUAUGAAUAAGGACCGGCUAAUUCCGUGCCAGCCGCCGCAGUAA